rnacentral:rRNA from 1 species
UACGAAGGGGGCAAGCGUUGUUCGGAAUGACUGGGCGUAAAGGGCGUGUAGGUGGAUGAAUACGUCUGGUGUGAAAGUCCUGGGCUUAACCUGGGGAUUGCACUGGAUACGGUUGAUCUAGAGUGUGAGAGGGGAAAACGGAAUUGCGGGUGGAGAGGUGAAAUUCGUAGAUAUCCGCAGGAACAUCGAUGGCGAAGGCGGUUUUCUGGCUCAUGACUGACACUGAGGCGCGAGAGCGUGGGGAGCAAACAGG